UUAAUUGAAGCCAAAAAGAGGCUUAUCACUGUUAAUGAUAUAAUUGAGAAUUAUUCUCCAAUUAAG
rnacentral:tRNA from 2 species